UCUCGAGACGACGUCGGCUUCCUCGGCUCGCUUCCCC
rnacentral:antisense_RNA from 1 species